rnacentral:rRNA from 1 species
CGAACAGGUGAGUAACGCGUGAGGAACCUGCCUCAAAGAGGGGGACAACAGUUGGAAACGACUGCUAAUACCGCAUAAGCCCACGGGUCGGCAUCGACCAGAGGGAAAAGGAGCAAUCCGCUUUGAGAUGGCCUCGCGUCCGAUUAGCUAGUUGGUGAGGUAAUGGCCCACCAAGGCAACGAUCGGUAGCCGGACUGAGAGGUUGAACGGCCACAUUGGGACUGAGACACGGCCCAGACUCCUACGGGAGGCAGCAUG